AGCACAUCCUCUGCCGCCACACCCUCUAGGGGAGGUUUGAUGACACCGCCUCGGAAGGGCCAUUAACAGCCACGGUGGCGAUUACAACAGAGCUCAGCAGUCCGCAGACCUAAGUGAGGCCUGGCUCCCAGGACAGAACGAAGGGAAAGAGAGUUCUGCCUACAAGAUCCAAGAUCCAAAGUUCCCAGUCUGGAUUUCAGGCUGAAAAACAGCCAAGAGGCGAAGAGAGGAUGUCACUGAACGGCCGGCGGUUUCCUCACGAAACAAGGAGGCUCAGCCAGGCUGUUCCCGGCACUGGCAAGGAGCCGGGCACCCGUUCUAAUUAACGAGCCAAUCUUCACAACCACCCCACGGAGAGAGGGGCCAUUGUGAUCCCCUAAUUACAGGAGAGGAAACCUAGGCAAGGGCGGUAACGUCACAGAACCAGCAAGUCUCCCGUCCACAGGGAAUCGGGAGUCAGGAGACCUGGACUCCGUUGGGCUGUGCCACCCACCGAGGGACGCGGGAGGCGCGAUCAGGUGGUUCCUACGGCCACUUCCAGCCCAGAGCGCCGGCCACUCUGCGUCCAGC